AAUGAACGCUGGCGGCGUGCCUAACACAUGCAAGUCGGAUGUGCCGCAAGGUGCAUGGCAGACGGGUGAGUAACGCGUGGGGAACCUACCUCUUCGUGGGGAAUAACGAUCCGAAAGGAUUGGUAAUACCGCAUGAGACCGACGGCUGGGAUGCUGUCGGUGAAAGCUGGGGACCGGAAACGGCCUGGCGCGAGGAGAGGGUCCUGCGUCUGAUUAGCUAGUUGGUGGGGUAACGGCCUACCAAGGCAUCGAUCAGUAGCCGGCCUGAGAGGGUGAUCGGCCACACUGGAACUGAGACACGGUCCAGACUCCUACGGGAGGCAGCAGUGGGGAAUUUUGCGCAAUGGACGAAAGUCUGACGCAGCAACGCCGCGUCGGGUGAGUGAAGGUCUUCGGA
rnacentral:rRNA from 1 species